ACCCUCCUCAGUUUCUCCAUAUAGUAUUCAUCAAGAAGUUGACUUGGAAAAUGGGCACGGCCUUCAAGAUCUGCAUGAGGCUGGCGGUGUGUUAUCUGGGCUUUUAUUGGUUCCUCUUGGCUGCCGCCGUUCCUGCAACCCGAAGCUUGAGAUCAAGCAACGAAAUCAAAUUACUACCGGAACUGGAAUCACUUUCUCUGGACGGUGUGGAGCUGAUGGAAGCAGGAGGGACUCACGAAGUGGAGGGAAGGAUGGACAUAGAGA